rnacentral:rRNA from 1 species
GCCCUACGGGGCGCAGCAGUGGGGAAUAUUGCACAAUGGGGGGAACCCUGAUGCAGCGACGCCGCGUGAGUGAAGAAGUAUUUCGGUAUGUAAAGCUCUAUCAGCAGGAACGAAAAUGACGGUACCUGACUAAGAAGCCCCGGCUAACUACGUGCCAGCAGCCGCGGUAAUACGUAGGGGGCAAGCGUUAUCCGGAUUUACUGGGUGUAAAGGGAGCGUAGACGGCAGAGCAAGUCGGGAGUGAAAGACCGGGGCCCAACCGCGGGACUGCUCUGGAAACUGUU